AUAUAAAGAUCUCUUCAAGGUUCGGCCAUAUAAAGAUCUCUUCAAGGUUCGGCCAUAUAAAGAUCUCUUCAAGGUUCGGCCAUAUAAAGAUCUCUUCAAGGUUCGGCCAUAUAAAGAUCUCUUCAAGGUUCGGCCAUAUAAAGAUCUCUUCAAGGUUCGGCCAUAUAAAGAUCUCUUCAAGGUUCGGCCCUAUAAAAUGACAAACAGACUGGAGUACCGGGCUACUUCCUGGUUCCAAUCACUCCAACGUUAGUGUGUGAAUACUGUAGAUUGCUGCUGUAGGCUGGAGAAAUGGCUUUGACUUUGACAUUGCAGCAGUGUUCACCUCUGAUUACAUUUCUCCAUUGUGGGCUGUUGGAAGGGCUGAAGGAAAUGCUGUUCUCUAUACUGGGCCAGUGUGUUAUGAACAGUGUCCAAGUCAAGUGUGACCAACAUACAUAACCGGUAUGUAUAUACUGUACAUCAUAGAACAGAAGGGCGGAAGGAAGACACUUCACUAAACAGUGUGUUUGGUGUUGUGUGUUAAUUAUGGACAAAUCAUAGAUCCUUGGAUAUUACAUACAUCAUACAGCUGGAAGGACAACCCCUCCUGUGGCCUACUGGGUAAUAACAGUGGAGACAGCUGGAAGGACAACCCCUCCUGUGGCCUACUGGGUAA